GCCGAGAUAGCUCAGUCGGUAGAGCACAGCUCUGAAAAAGCUGGUGUCGUCGGUUCGAUUCCGACUCUCGGCA
rnacentral:tRNA from 1 species